GAGACCACCAUGGUGAUUUGUAAGCAACUCACUGUACUUUAAUACCAAACUAUUUGAGUUUCUAACUUAGUGAUGGAAGGAUACUAGGUGCAGUCAAGUACUUAUCAAGUUAGUGUGUAGUGAAGAUGGAAUUGACCCCUCUGAAUUGGUAGGAGAUAUGCAUCAGUGUAUUUCAAUUUAGCAAAAUCUUGGUUAGGAUAAUCUAUGAGAUAGAUUUGAAAGGUUGAAAUAUAAUGUGGUUGACUUAAUUAGGGUUG
rnacentral:lncRNA from 1 species